rnacentral:rRNA from 1 species
AGCGAACGCUGGCGGCGUGCUUAACACAUGCAAGUCGAGCGAGAAAGUCCCGCAAGGGAUGAGUACAGCGGCGAACGGGUGCGUAACACGUGGGCAAUCUGUCCUUGAGACCGGAAUAACCCAGCGAAAGUUGGGCUAAUGCCGGAUAAGACCACGAGCAGACAUGUUUGCGGUCAAAGGGCGCUUCUUCUAGGAGCAUUCACUCACGGAGGAGCCCCGCGGCCAUCAGCUAGUUGGUAGGGUAACGGCCUACCAAGGCAAAGACGGGCAGCUGGUCUGAGAGGAUGACCAGCCACACGGGGACUGA